rnacentral:rRNA from 1 species
UACAGAGGUCCCGAGCGUUGUUCGGAUUCAUUGGGCGUAAAGGGUGCGUAGGCGGUCUGCUAAGUUUGAUGUGAAAUCCCGGGGCUCAACCCUGGAAUGGCAUUGAAUACUGGCGGACUAGAGUACCGGAGAGGAAACUGGAAUUUACGGUGUAGCAGUGAAAUGCGUAGAGAUCGUAAGGAAGACCAGUGGCGAAGGCGAGUUUCUGGACGGUAACUGACGCUGAGGCACGAAGGCCAGGGGGAGCAAAACGGG